ACACUCAGGAGUUUGUGUGAAUAAGUUUAUAUAAUUUAUUGUCUUUCUGUAACAUUUAUAGACCAGACAUAAAACAGUGAAUACAAAGAUUGCAGUAGUAAAUAAAUUUAAGAAUAUUAAAGCAAGCAUUUCAAUAAAAAAUCUUAAGUAAUAAGCCCAAAGGGAAACUGGCUGGGUAAAUGUUAAAUAAUUUGGGGUUCUGCAAAAUUGACAAGAGAGGGAUCUUAAACCAAUAACCUCUGAAUUAAGGUACUUUGUACUUUGCUCUACUUUAUGUUGAUAGUCUCCCCUUUUUUAUUUGACAUUUGAAAUGAAAAGUAACUCCCUGUCUGCCGAUUCCCAGGUUGAAAUAAAAGGUAACUCCCUGUCUGCCGAUUCCCAGGUUGAAAUAAAAGGUAACUCCCUGUCUGCCGAUUCCCAGGUUG